rnacentral:rRNA from 1 species
GACGAACGCUGGCGGCGUGCUUAACACAUGCAAGUCGAACGGAAAGGCCUGCUUUCCCUUGUGGAUUGCGGGUACUCGCGUGGCGAACGGGUGAGUAACACGUGAGUGAUCUGCCCCCAACUUAGGUAUAAGCCUGGGAAACUGGGUCUAAUUCCCGAUAGGACUGCAGGGUGGUGCCUGUGGUUGAAAACGAUUUUCUAGUGGUUGGGGAUGAGCUCGCGGCCUAUCAGCUUGUUGGUGGGGUAAUGGCCUACCAAGGCGGCGACGGGUAGCCGGCCUGAGAGGGGGGACGGCGAAACUGGGACUGGGAUAAGGCCCCUACGGCUGCGGGAGGUAGCGGUGGGGAGUAUUGGGGCAUGAGCGGAAGCCUGAUGCAGCGAGGCAGCGUGGGGGAUGACGGGCUUGGGGUUGUAAACUACUUUCGACCGAGAGGAAGCCACCUGGUUGGAAGGGUGGUGACGGUAGUGGUAGAAGAAGCACCGGCUAACUACGUG